rnacentral:rRNA from 1 species
UGUCCUAAUACUGCAGUCGAGCGGACUUGAUGAGAAGCUUGCUUCUCUGAUGGUUAGCGGCGGACGGGUGAGUAACACGUAGGCAACCUGCCCUCAAGCUUGGGACAACUACCGGAAACGGUAGCUAAUACCGAAUAGUUGUUUUCUUCUCCUGAAGAGAACUGGAAAGACGGAGCAAUCUGUCACUUGGGGAUGGGCCUGCGGCGCAUUAGCUAGUUGGUGGGGUAACGGCUCACCAAGGCGACGAUGCGUAGCCGACCUGAGAGGGUGAUCGGCCACACUGGGACUGAGACACGGCCCAGACUCCUACGGGAGGCAGCAGUAGGGAAUCUUCCGCAAUGGGCGAAAGCCUGACGGAGCAAUGCCGCGUGAGUGAUGAAGGUUUUCGGAUCGUAAAGCUCUGUUGCCAGGGAAGAACGCUUGGGAGAGUAACUGCUCUCAAGGUGACGGUACCUGAGAAGAAAGCCCCGGCUAACUACGUGCCAGCAGCCGCGGUAAUACGUAGGGGGCAAGCGUUGUCCGGAAUUAUUGGGCGUAAAGCGCGCGCAGGCGGUCAUUUAAGUCUGGUGUUUAAUCCCGGGGCUCAACCCCGGAUCGCACUGGAAACUGGGUGACUUGAGUGCAGAAGAGGAGAGUGGAAUUCCACGUGUAGCGGUGAAAUGCGUAGAUAUGUGGAGGAACACCAGUGGCGAAGGCGACUCUCUGGGCUGUAACUGACGCUGAGGCGCG